rnacentral:rRNA from 1 species
CCUACGGGAGGCAGCAGUGGGGAAUAUUGCACAAUGGGGGAAACCCUGAUGCAGCGACGCCGCGUGAGUGAAGAAGGAUCUCGGGACGUAAAGCUCUAUCAGCAGGGAAGAAAAUGACGGUAGCGGACUAAGAAGCGCCGGCUAACUACGAGCCAGCAGCCGCGGUAAGACGGAGGGGGCAAGCGUUAACCGGAUUUACGGGGGGUAAAGGGAGCGUAGGCGGCUGCACAAGGCUGAUGUGAAAUCCCGGGGCUUAACCCCGGAUCUGCUUUGGAAACUGGGCGGCUGGAGUGCAGGAGGGGUAAGCGGAAUUCCUUGUGUAGCGGUGACAUGCGUAGAUAUUACGCGGAACCCCGGUGGCGAAGGCGGCUUACUGGACUGUAACUGACGUUGCGGCUCGAAAGCGUGGGGAGCAAACAGGAUUAGAUACCCCGGUAGUC